rnacentral:rRNA from 1 species
CCUACGGGUGGCUGCAGUGAGGAAUAUUGGUCAAUGGACGAGAGUCUGAACCAGCCACGCAGCGUGAAGGAUGACUGCCCUAUGGGUUGUAAACUUCUUUUAUAUGGGAAUAAAAUGUUCCACGUGUGGGUUUUUGUAUGUACCAUAUGAAUAAGGAACGGCUAACUCCAUUCCAGCAGCCGCGGUAAUACGGAGGAUCCGAGCGUUAUCCGGAUUUACUGGGUUUAAAGGGAGGGAAGGUGGAGUGUUAAGUCAGUUGUGAAAGUUUGGGGCUCAACCGUAAAAUUGCAGUUGAAACUGGCAGUCUUGAGUACAGUAGAGGUGGGUAGAAUUCGUGGUGUAGCGGUGAAAUGCGUAGAUAUCACGAAGAACUCCGAUUGCGAAGGCAGUUCACUGGACUGCAACUGACACUGAGGCUCGAAAGUGUGGGUAUCAAACAGGAUUAGAUACCCUUGUAGUC